rnacentral:rRNA from 1 species
GGGUGAGUAACACGUGGAUAACCUACCUAUAAGACUGGGAUAACUUCGGGAAACCGGAGCUAAUACCGGAUAAUAUUUUGGACCGCAUGGUUCAAAAGUGAAAGACGGUCUUGCUGUCACUUAUAGAUGGAUCCGCGCUGCAUUAGCUAGUUGGUAAGGUAACGGCUUACCAAGGCAACGAUGCAUAGCCGACCUGAGAGGGUGAUCGGCCACACUGGAACUGAGACACGGUCCAG